rnacentral:misc_RNA from 1 species
AGCGGCCGCGGUAAUUCCAGCUCCAAUAGCGUAUAUUAAAGUUGUUGCAGUUAAAAAGCUCGUAGUUGAAUUUCGGGAUUAAUAUGUUGGUCGUGCCUUGGUACGUACUGGCAUUAUUGAUUCCUACCUUCUGAAGAACCUCGAUGUCAUUAAUUUGGUGUCUUGGGGAAUCAGGACCGUUACUUUGAAAAAUUAGAGUGUUUAAAGCAGGCUCGCGCUUGAAUACAUUAGCAUGGAAUAAUGAAAUAGGACGUUUGAUUCUAUUUUGUUGGUUUCUAGGAUCGACGUAAUGAUUAAUAGGGAUAGUUGGGGGCAUUAGUAUUCAAUUGUCAGAGGUGAAAUUCUUGGAUUUAUUGAAGACUGACUACUGCGAAAGCAUUUGCCAAGGAUGUUUUCAUUAAUCAAGAACGAAAGUUAGGGGAUCGAAGACGAUCAGAUACCGUCGUAGUCUUAACCAUAAACUAUGCCGACUAGGGAUCGGAUGAUGUUAAUUUUUAAUGACUCAUUCGGCGCCUUAAC